AAAGCAGGAGCAAUCUUGUGAGUAAAGUGGCGUACGGGUGAGUAACACGUGGAUCAUCUACCCUCUUGUGGGGGAUAACUCUGGGAAACCGGAGCUAAUACCGCAUAAGUCCGAGAGGAGAAAGCAGCAAUGCGCAGGAGGAGGAGUCCGCGGCCGAUUAGCUAGUUGGUAGGGUAAAAGCCUACCAAGGCUACGAUCGGUAGCCGGCCUGAGAGGGCACACGGCCACACUGGCACUGAAACACGGGCCAGACUCCUACGGGAGGCAGCAGUGGGGAAUCUUGCACAAUGGGGGCAACCCUGAUGCAGCGACGCCGCGUGAGCGAUGAAGCCCUUCGGGGUGUAAAGCUCUUUCGGCAGGGAAGAUUAUGACGGUACCUGCAGAAGCAGCUGCGGCUAACUACGUGCCAGCAGCCGCGGUAAUACGUAGGCAGCGAGCGUUGUUCGGAGUUACUGGGCGUAAAGGGUGUGUAGGCGGUCUUCUAAGUUUGGUGUGAAAUCUCCCGGCUCAACUGGGAGGGUGCGCCGAAAACUGGGAGGCUAGAGUGCGGGAUGGGAGAGUGGAAUUCCUGGUGUAGCGGUGAAAUGCGUAGAUAUCAGGAGGAACACCGGUGGUGUAGACGGCUCUCUGGACCGCAACUGACGCUGAGACACGAAAGCGUGGGUAGCAAACAGGAUUAGAUACCCUGGUAGUCCACGCCCUAAACGAUGCAUAUUUGGUGUGGGCCAUUCAUUUGGUCCGUGCCGGAGCUAACGCGUUAAAUAUGCCGCCUGGGGAGUACGGUCGCAAGGCUGAAACUC
rnacentral:rRNA from 1 species